rnacentral:rRNA from 1 species
UAAGGGCGCACGGUGGAUGCCUUGGCACUAGAAGCCGAUGAAGGACGUUACUAACGACGAUAUGCUUUGGGGAGCUGUAAGUAAGCUUUGAUCCAGAGAUUUCCGAAUGGGGAAACCCAGCAUGAGUUAUGUCAUGUUAUCGAUAUGUGAAUACAUAGCAUAUCAGAAGGCACACCCGGAGAACUGAAACAUCUUAGUACCCGGAGGAAGAGAAAGAAAAUUCGAUUCCCUUAGUAGCGGCGAGCGAAACGGGAAGAGCCCAAACCAACAAGCUUGCUUGUUGGGGUUGUAGGACACUCUAUACGGAGUUACAAAGGACGACAUUAGACGAAUCAUCUGGAAAGAUGAAUCAAAGAAGGUAAUAAUCCUGUAGUCGAAAAUGUUGUCUCUCUUGAGUGGAUCCUGAGUACGACGGAGCACGUGAAAUUCCGUCGGAAUCUGGGAGGACCAUCUCCUAAGGCUAAAUACUCUCUAGUGACCGAUAGUGAACCAGUACC